GUGGGGAAUAUUGGACAAUGGGCGGAAGCCUGAUCCAGCCAUGCCGCGUGUGUGAAGAAGGCCUUUUGGUUGUAAAGCACUUUAAGCGAGGAGGAGGCUCUUAAGGUUAAUACCCUUGAUGAGUGGACGUUACUCGCAGAAUAAGCACCGGCUAACUCUGUGCCAGCAGCCGCGGUAAUACAGAGGGUGCGAGCGUUAAUCGGAUUUACUGGGCGUAAAGCGUGCGUAGGCGGCUGAUUAAGUCGGAUGUGAAAUCCCUGAGCUUAACUUAGGAAUUGCAUUCGAUACUGGUCAGCUAGAGUAUGGGAGAGGAUGGUAGAAUUCCAGGUGUAGCGGUGAAAUGCGUAGAGAUCUGGAGGAAUACCGAUGGCGAAGGCAGACAUCUGGCCUAAUACUGACACUGAGGUGCGAAAGCAUGGGGAGCAAACAGGAUUAGAAACCCCAGUAGUCC
rnacentral:rRNA from 1 species